rnacentral:tRNA from 1 species
GCCGGAGUGGUGGAAUUGGUAGACACGCUGGACUCAAAAUCCAGUGCAGGUUACACUGUGUGAGGGUUCGAGUCCCUCCUCCGGUA